UCAAAGUGAAAGUAAAACUAAUUCUCGGAAUAUCAUGGACUGACGUACACAGAAAAUAAUUCGUUGCGCAAUAAGACGCAGGGUAGACGUAUAUCAUCAAUACCAUUACAUCAGCUGACAAAGCUUUAUCAGAUUUAAAAAUGAGUUUACCCGGAUAUAAUGGAGGAAGUUUGGAGAAGUUUAUUGAUGAUGUUGUUAGACCCCCUAGUGGGUUUUUAGCUGAUUUGCACGGGGCUGUUGAUAUAAUUGUCAGAACACUACACCAACUACUAGGGUAUGAUGUACAAGAGAUAGUGCAGACUGGUUCUCUUGGUAAAGGCACCGCCAUUCAACAAAGUUGCGAUGCAGAUCUGGUACUGUUUUUGAAUGGUUACGACAGCAUGGAGGCGUUCAUUGAGAAAAGACAAAGAAUAUUGGCUGAUAUCGAGAAAUGGUUAGACCGACGAAUGGAUAAUAUUAGGAUGACAAUUAAGAAGAGAAGCAUGUAUGGUCUAACUUACAACUGUGAGGUAACUUACAGUGGAAAGACUGUAAAACUGGAGAUGGAUUUACUUCCUGCUAUUGACGUCUUCGGGAUUAAAACUGUUGGGGAACGAACAAUUCGACAAGUUUAUGAAGAAAUGAAGUCUAAGCCCGAGAAAGUCAGAUCGAACUAUUCUCUCAGUUUCUGUAAAAAGCAAAAAGCGAUUUUUAGACCUGAAAACGCUAAAGUCAAAGAUCUUAUCCGUCUCCUGAAAUACUGGAAAAAAACAAACAGCAGAUCCGUUAAGGCAAGGAUUGGACGCUGUCCUCCUAUUGUUGUGAGGUAAUCGGUGUGUAUGUAUAUUGUGAAAGACUGAACAAAAAAACAGAUUUUAAGAUGAUUGAUGGAUUCCGGUUUGCACUUGAGAUUUUGAGUGAAUUCAAAAUUAAACGACUGACUGUUUCGCACUAUUACGACCCUAAUGAAACCGAAUGGAUGAACUUAUUUCCAAUGAGUGUAACCUGUAUUUUGGACCCAGCAAACCCUUUCUCAAAUACUGGACCCAAAGAGAAUGAGAUUAAAAAAAUAAAACGUUGUGCAGCUGAAACUUUGACUUUAUUGCCACAUUAAGAUAUAUGUAAUACACGUGUUACGUUAUAGCCUAGCUUUAUAGGUAUUGCAGAGUGAAUAUUGGAGAGCAUAUGCACAAAUAUUUUAUUUAGAUAUUUAAAUCUUCUGUAUUUUAAGAAUAUAUAUUUUAUGGAUUACAUAGUCCAAUAUUAUUAAGAUGUAUACAUGUUUAUUAUUAGAAACGGCGAGGGAAUAAUCCAUUAAAAAGCAUAAAUGAACCUCACGCUUUUGGAAGAUGAAAUCUUAUCAAAUUAUAGCAGGUAUGGUCAGCUCUUAUCCAAAUCUUACACUAAUGUUUAUUUAAUAAAUUACUAGAAAGGACAAUAUUGUAUCUCUCAAUGAUAAGCUCUCUACUUUAUGAUUUGAAUGUAAAAACCUUGUUUGAAGUUUAUAUUUAAUUUUUUUUGAACUUGUGAUUUGGAAUUAUUUCCUAUUAUAUCGGAAAAGUACGAUUAGUAGAACCGAGUGUUACUUUAAUAGAUAAUUCUAAAUCUACGUAAGCAUUAAAUACUAAAUGGAAAUGUACGUUUAUCGACGAAAUACUUGUUUAUUUAAAUUUAUUUCAAGUAUAAGUAAAAAUGGUUCACGCUUAAAUAAACAGAGGAGUACAAUUACAAAUUUAUAUGAUUUAUUACUUGGUUAAUUACUAACGAAGACUUCGCAGCGUAUUUAAUAAGCCGACAAGUAAUAUACAUUUGAUAAAUUACUUGUUUAUUAAAGAAAUUGAUUAUUAAGAUUAUUCAAACUAUUGGUGACUAAAAAGUACGAUAUAUACAUUAUUAUAUUAUUGUUUAAUGCUUGUUGCUAGUUAUAGAAUAGAGACUUAUUAGUAUUAUAUUUAAUUCAUUCGACAUCAGUAACUUGUACCUUUCACAAGCGAGUUUAAAUGCACACUAUUAUUAUUUUAAGCUACACCACCCUAUAUAUACAUUGUAUAUUGCUAAUAAUGCUUGAAUUUAAAUAAUUGAAUGGUAUAGACAAUAAAUUACUAUAUUGGAUCGUU